rnacentral:rRNA from 1 species
GGGUCAGCAAGUUGGUCGUGCCACUGGUAUGUACUGGCUUUACUGAUUCCUCCUUCUUGCAGAACCGUAAUGCCAUUAAUUUGGUGUUGCGGGGAAACAGGACUGUUACUUUGAAAAAAUUAGAGUGUUUAAAGCAGGCUAACGCUUGAAUACAUUAGCAUGGAAUAAUGAAAUAGGACGUUCGAUCCUAUUUUGUUGGUUUCUAGGAUUGACGUA